GAAGAAGCCAUCAGAACCGACAGCCCGGCUCAGGCUACAUCUUUUUCGACAUAUUUUUCACAGCAGUGUAACUACCAAUGGCCGCUUCACCGAGAGCAGGCUGGCAGGUCCUUGCCAGGCUGACGGUGAGGGCCCCUGGAUCUCACUUGGUCUGUUAAUGACAAAAAUGCACGGAGAUGGAAGAUUUUUCAACCCUGAAGAAGUGAACCUGACAAUGAUGGAGGCAGACUGUCCACAUCCCUGGCUUCGUGACCAGCCAUCGGAGGGGAGCUCACUGCAGGCCACACGGGGGACCAAGCCUGAGAAGGCAGUCGGCGCCCCUCAGAUCCAUCCCCGUUCUCAGCAGAAUGACAGCUAUUGAUUGCGCCUCUGAUGUUUGCCUGCCAGCGUCCGCCCUGCCAGAAAAGUCAGGACCUUGAGCUUUGUCCUCAAGGGGUGGCCCAUGGGAGUGAUAGUGUUUGACGUUGUUUACAGCGCUUAAAAAUUGUGAGUAAUGCUCAAGUCUUAGUGACCAAAUUUAACCUUGAUUCUGAAAACAGACGUAUCCAGAACCUUUUGUUGGGUUUGAAGUGACCAAGAGCACACCCCGCACACACCUGGGACGGAUGCUGCGCCCCACCCCGGGGACGUUACAGGGUUUCACCCCUCUGACCCCACACGACAGCUAGGACUUGACUUUCGUUUUGUCUCUAAAGAUAGAUCACGGAGCCAAGGGAAGUGCACUUUGUCAAACGUAAGCGUCUGCUUUGUUCCUUGUUAUUUCUCUCUUUUCUAACCUUUUGUUCCACCUUUUUUUUAAUCGUGUUUCUUGUCAAAUGCAGAAAUGUUACUUCCGCCACUCUCUGAUGUUUCGAAUUCUGGCUUCUGCGGUUUUUAUUGUCUGUGUCAGACGUGCAGCCAGAUGUGGUUCUCUGUCAGCCUUUCCCAGAUUCUGUUCCAUCCACAUUGACCCCCGUUCUGUUCUCCCUCCACCCCACUCACCCUCACGCUCUCUGAGAAAAAGAAUCACCUUGUGUGUUGUAGCUCAUUUGUUUCAAGAGAGAAUCAACAGAUCAUAUUCAGUG
rnacentral:lncRNA from 1 species